rnacentral:rRNA from 1 species
AUUGAACGCUAGCGGAAUGCUUUACACAUGCAAGUCGAACGGCAGCACGGACUUCGGUCUGGUGGCGAGUGGCGAACGGGUGAGUAAUGUAUCGGAACGUGCCCAGUCGUGGGGGAUAACGUAGUGAAAAUUACGCUAAUACCGCAUACGAUCUAUGGAUGAAAGCGGGGGAUCGCAAGACCUCGCGCGAUUGGAGCGGCCGAUAUCAGAUUAGGUAGUCGGUGGGGUAAAGGCCCACCAAGCCAACGAUCUGUAGCUGGUCAGAGAGGACGACCAGCCACACUGGAACUGAGACACGGUCCAGACUCCUACGGGAGGCAGCAGUGGGGAAUUUUGGACAAUGGGCGAAAGCCUGAUCCAGCCAUUCCGCGUGCAGGAUGAAGGCCCUCGGGUUGUAAACUGCUUUUGUACAGAACGAAAAGGUUUCUACUAAUACUAGGAGCUCAUGACGGUACUGUAAGAAUAAGCACCGGCUAACUACGUGCCAGCCGCCGCCGUAA